GGAUCGGUACCCGAUAAUUCUCAGAAAUAUGGACGGUGGCUUUGUCUGUUACACUCUGCUCUAUGCAAGAAAUCCACAUGAUUCAAAUCGCUGGUUCAGGAUUCAAGUGGAGACGCGGGACGAUAUGGCGAAAUUGUUCUUUCAGCAUCUGAGGCCAAAUGAUCACAUAGAUAUCUCGGGCCACUUGGAGUCUUACUUCAAGGUUUCUAGCAAUGGAAAUCCAAAGUCCAGUUACAUGAUAAUUGCGAAUGGAUUGCAUUACAUUGCACAGCAUGAUCAUCGGCCAGGCUGCCAAAGCCCUGAGUAAUCAAAAUUUGAAACCUGCCAAAACCAGGAGGAAUCAGAGUCGGAAGCCUGUCGAAACCCUCCCUGAGGAAUCAUGGAGCCGCGUUCAGGAGGUAUCCGUUUUUCUUUUACCUGUUGAAGUUUAUUUUCAAUUAAGUGUCCAUCUCUCGUUCACCUGGUUCCUGGACAAGACGCUGUGUUGCAGGAUAUGAAUGGCUCAUAGUUCAUUUAACACAAGAGAUGGCUUAGGUGGGUUGUUUCUCAAUAUAGGACUUCCAAAUCUUUGAAAGAGGAAUGGGUAUGGGGAUGGAGACCCACCGCGGGAGAGCUCCGUGCUUGGAAAUUCCUUAUACCUCUUGCCUCCUGAAGUAUAUUAGGUAGAUACAAGGUCUUAUGGUGGAUUACAAUAAUCGACCAUUAGCUGAGAUGGCAUUAACCACAUUCGAAGUUCAAAUCUUGGGUGGCCAAAUGUAAAGAAAUUAAGGACAGGACCAGCGGCGAUUAUCGUA